GGUUUGACAUUUGCAGAGCAUGUCAUGCUGCUUAUUAAAAGCAUAAAUAAGUAUAAGUGGAUGAUAGUGGGAUUCUGAGCGGAGGGGGAACGUUUUAGUGAGUGGUUGAAUCCACCCUCGGGACUAUGUCCUGGCAAAGGCUUGACCAGAGAAGCACCAGAAGACCAGGCCGAAGGAGGCCAACAAUGCCUCUCCUUGUACUGGACAAUUUGCGCCGGACAAUGGCUACAAAUCAACGUGGAAAUUGUGCAAAUCUUCGAUGUGUACCGACAGAUAAACAGUUUUACCUACGGCUUCCUCUGGCUUCGCGUGGGCUGUUCCAGUUUUCAACAAUUCUUGUCGUUAAUCAAUUAACUUUGCCCUGGUUCCUUUACUCGAAAAACUCGGAAACGCCCCCUCACUUUGACCCACCGCCCGCUGGAACUCCCUCCCACUGAGUGGUGGGUGAUUCAGGCUUGACCACUUCAAUAUGUCAAACGAAUCAAACGCAUAAACCAAACCAGCAGCCGGACCCGCAACCAGACAAAAGAUGAUGUCCGAGCAAAUAUUGAAAAGUGAAAA